AGUGAACGCUGGCGGUAGGCCUAACACAUGCAAGUCGAACGGCAGCACAGUAAGAGCUUGCUCUUACGGGUGGCGAGUGGCGGACGGGUGAGGAAUACAUCGGAAUCUACUUUUUCGUGGGGGAUAACGUAGGGAAACUUACGCUAAUACCGCAUACGACCUACGGGUGAAAGCAGGGGAUCUUCGGACCUUGCGCGAUUGAAUGAGCCGAUGUCGGAUUAGCUAGUUGGCGGGGUAAAGGCCCACCAAGGCGACGAUCCGUAGCUGGUCUGAGAGGAUGAUCAGCCACACUGGAACUGAGACACGGUCCAGACUCCUACGGGAGGCAGCAGUGGGGAAUAUUGGACAAUGGGCGCAAGCCUGAUCCAGCCAUACCGCGUGGGUGAAGAAGGCCUUCGGGUUGUAAAGCCCUUUUGUUGGGAAAGAAAAGCAGCAGGUUAAUACCCCGCUGUUCUGACGUUACCCAAAGGAUAAGCACCGGCUAACUUCGUG
rnacentral:rRNA from 1 species